rnacentral:rRNA from 1 species
GACGAACGCUGGCGGCGUGCCUAAUACAUGCAAGUUGAGCGCUGAAGGUUGGUACUUGUACCAACUGGAUGAGCAGCGAACGGGUGAGUAACGCGUGGGGAAUCUGCCUUUGAGCGGGGGACAACAUUUGGAAACGAAUGCUAAUACCGCAUAAAAACUUUAAACACAAGUUUUAAGUUUGAAAGAUGCAAUUGCAUCACUCAAAGAUGAUCCCGCGUUGUAUUAGCUAGUUGGUGAGGUAAAGGCUCACCAAGGCGAUGAUACAUAGCCGACCUGAGAGGGUGAUCGGCCACAUUGGGACUGAGACACGGCCCAAAGGCCUACGGGAGGGAGCAGUAGGGAAUCUUCGGCAAUGGACGAAAGGCUGACCGAGCAACGCCGCGUGAGUGAAGAAGGUUGUCGGAUCGUAAAACUCGGUUGGUAGAGAAGAACGUUGGUGAGAGUGGAAAGCUCAUCAAGUGACGGUAACUACCCAGAAAGGGACGGCUAACUACGUG